CAGAGGCGGGGGCGCCGCUUCGGGAGAGCGGGCAGUUCUAGGAGGCCGACCUGGAGAGCCUCCCGGUUCCCCUUCCCCUUUUCCCGGACCCCGCGGGGACACCCCCUCGCCGCCACCCGGGCCUCCCCGAGGGCCCAACUGCGGGUCAGGCGGCCCGGGCCAGCCGAAAGGGAAGUGGGGCUACCCCACAGCCAGGCAGCGGGGCUGGGGUCAGACCCGGGAGCCGGAGGUUGGAGACGUGCGACAGUCACCUGCGGGCAGAUUCCAGAGGGGAGACCCAGGGCUGCAGGGGACGCCCCUUCGUGGCAGCUACCCAGCCUCGGCCCACUGCCAGUGUUACGUGGCUGCAUGACCAUACACUUCUGGGUAGAGCCCAGUGGAAGACAAAGAAGACUCAAGGAAUAGCCCUUGAGGGCUCAGGAGCUAUACAGAUGGGAUAGAGGGUGUGAGUGCUGGGAAGCCCCAUCCAUGGCUCGCUGGAGAUUAGAGGCCUGUUAAUCUGAAGACAAAGGAAUGAAGACGAAAACGUUUCUGAAAAUGUGGGUGGAGACACCUGGGCCUUUACAGGGUACGCUCCAGAGCUGCUUCCAGGCAGGGACCCCGGCUGAGAGAAGCCAGAGCCAGAGAGUCGCAGGCUUGCUUGCUCUUAUCUUCCCUCUGCUGGGGGGGUCGAGGGGAGAUCUGGCCCCUCUGCUCUGCCCUCCUGAUUUCCCGUCUAAGGGAUUUAGGAGACUUUUGCCUUUUCCUAAUCUCUCCCUUUGCAGAAUUUCUGCGAAGUCACAAUCCCAUUUCCAGGCAAAGGUGCUUGGUCAUAAAGAUAAUAAAGAUAUUCAUUCAUGAUGGAGGGGAAGUACACAGUGGUUUCAGCUGCCUGUAGGGCUCCACUUACUCAUGGUGUGUGACAGAUGCUGAGCCCUUCCCCAAAUCUCAUGGAUGGGAAGGAAACCUGGCGCCGCGGGGUGGUCGCGGGAAGCCGUGGCAUGGCUUGGUGAACACAGGCUCGCCGACCCGGGGGCGGAUGCUGAGGUUGCCAUUGUUGGUGG
rnacentral:lncRNA from 1 species